ensembl:misc_RNA Metazoa_SRP Metazoan signal recognition particle RNA
GCCGGGUGCAGUGGCGCGCGCCUGUAGUCCCAGCUACUUGGGAGGCUGAGGCUGGAGGAUCAUUUGAGUCCAAGGAGUUCUGGGCUGUCAUGCGCUAUGCCGAUCGGGUGUCCGCACUAAGUUUGGCAUCAACAUGGUGACCUCCUGGGAGCGGGGGACCACCAGGUUGCCUAAGGAGGGGUGAACCGGCUCAGGUUGGAAACGGAGCAGGUCAAAUACAUAAAUAAAUCAAUCUUAAAAAAAAAAAAAAAAAGAAUGACAUACUUCGGGCACAUUUUAUUUUAAAAUUUAGCUUCAA